rfam:Picea glauca, whole genome shotgun sequence.
GGGGGCUUCCGCACCAAUGGAUCGGGCGCUUUUAAAGGGUGGAGUUAGGCACGCUUGGGAAAGAGUAGUACUAGGAUGGGUGACCUCCCGGGAAGUCCUACUGUUGCACCCU